rnacentral:rRNA from 1 species
AGAAUCAACGCUGGCGGCGUGCCUAACACAUGCAAGUCGAACGAGAAAGUGGAGCAAUCCACAAGUAAAGUGGCGCACGGGUGAGUAACACGUGACUAACCUACCCUUGAGUGGGGGAUAACCUAGAGAAAUCUGGGCUAAUACCGCAUAAUACCUUCGGGUCAAAGGAGCAAUUCGCUUAAGGAGGGGGUCGCGGCCGAUUAGUUAGUUGGCGGGGUAAUGGCCCACCAAGACUAUGAUCGGUA